rnacentral:rRNA from 1 species
GAUUAACGCUAGCGGUGUGCCUUAUGCAUGCAAGUCGAACGGUCUCGAUUUAUCGAGAUAGUGGCGAACGGGUGAGUAACGCGUAAGUGAUCUGCCCCUAAGCGGGGGAUAACCCUGAGAAAUUGGGGCUAAUACCGUAUGUGGUGAUGGAGGUAGGGCUCUAUCAGUAAAGCCUUAGGGUGCUUGGGGAGGGGCUUGCGUCCGAUUAGCUAGUUGGUAGGGUAAUGGCUUACCAAGGCGAUGAUCGGUAGCUGGUUUGAGAGGACGGUCAGCCACACUGGGACUGAGACACGGCCCAGACUCCUACGGGAGGCAGCAGCAAGGAAUCUUGUGCAAUGGGCGAAAGCCUGACACAGCGACACCGCGUGGGGGAUGAAGGCUUUCGGGUUGUAAACCCCUUUUCUCAGGGAAGAAUAAUGACGGUACCUGAGGAAUAAGUCUUGGCUAACUACGUG